rnacentral:rRNA from 1 species
GACAAUGGGCGAAAGCCUGAUCCAGCCAUGCCGCGUGUGUGAAGAAGGUCUUCGGAUUGUAAAGCACUUUUAGCUGGGAGGAAAGGCAGUGAGUUAAUACCUUGCUGUUUUGACGUUACCAGCAGAAUAAGCACCGGCUAACUUCGUGCCAGCAGCCGCGGUAAUACAA